CGGGUCGAUGAGGCGGUAGCUCCGUUGUUGCGUCUUGGUAGGCGGUGUGCGUUUGCGAUCGCGAUGUCGUUAGCUUCCCUUUCAUUGAUGCC